UGUGUAACAACUCACCUGCCGAAUGGACUAGCCCCGAAAAUGGAUAGCGCUCAAGCCGACGACCUAUACACGACCGUUGGCCUAAAUGCGAUGGGCCAACGAGUAGGAGGGCGUGGAGAUUGUGAAGCAGCCUUGGACGUGAGUCUGGGUGAAACGGUCUCUAGUGCAGAUCUUGGUGUUAGUAGCAAAUAUUCAAAUGAGAACUUUGAAGGCCGAAGUGGAGAAAGGUUCCAUGUGAACAGCAAUUGGACAUGGGUUAGUCGAUCCUAAGAGAUAGCUUAAACGCGUUUUAAAGUCGUCAUGUUUUUCGAAAUAUGGCCGUCUAUCGAAAGGGAAGCAGGUUAAUAUUCCUGCACCAAAAUGUGGAUAUUUCAUGUGGCAACACAAGAAUGGUUUGGAGACAUCAAUGCGUAUCCCGGGAAUAGUUCUCUUUUAUUCUUAACAUAUUUUUGCUGUGUUUUCCCUGGAAUCAAUUUGGUUGGCGAUAGGGAAAAGGUUUGCGAUGGAAAAGCAGGAUACCUUAUGUCCUGUCCGGUGCAUCCGCAGUGAUCCUUA
rnacentral:rRNA from 14 species